rnacentral:rRNA from 1 species
UACGUAGGGUGCGAGCGUUAUUCGGAAUUACUGGGCGUAAAGCGUGCGCAGGCGGUUUUGUAAGCCAGAUGUGAAAUCCCCGGGCUUAACCUGGGAAUGGCAUUUGGGACUGCAAGGCUUGAGUGCGGCAGAGGAGACUAGAAUUCCUGGUGUAGCAGUGAAAUGCGUAGAUAUCAGGAGGAAUACCGAUGGCGAAGGCAGGUCUCUGGGCUGACACUGACGCUCAUGCACGAAAGCGUGGGGAGCAAACAGG